UACAGAGGUCUCAAGCGUUGUUCGGAUUCAUUGGGCGUAAAGGGUGUGUAGGUGGCGCCGUAAGUCGGGUGUGAAAUUUCGGAGCUUAACUCCGAAACUGCAUUCGAUACUGCGGUGCUUAAGGACUGGAGAGGAGACUGGAAUUCAUGGUGUAGCAGUGAAAUGCGUAGAGAUCAUGAGGAAGACCAGUGGCGAAGGCGGGUCUCUGGACAGUUCCUGACACUGAGACACGAAGGCCAGGGGAGCAAACGGG
rnacentral:rRNA from 1 species